CCAAUAGCGUAUAUUAAAGUUGUUGCAGUUAAAAAGCUCGUAGUUGAAUUUCGGGAUCAAAUAACCGGUCGUGCCUCCGGUACGUACUGGUUUUAUUGGUUCCUCCCUUCUGACGAACCAUGAUGUCAUUAAUUUGAUGUGGUGGAGAAUCAGGACUGUUACCUUGAAAAAAUUAGAGUGUUUAAAGCAGGCUAACGCUUGAAUACAUUAGCAUGGAAUAAUGAAAUAGGACGUUCGACCCUAUUUUGUUGGUUUCUAGGAUCGACGUAAUGAUUAAUAGGGAUAGUUGGGGGCAUUAGUAUUCAAUUGUCAGAGGUGAAAUUCUUGGAUUUAUUGAAGACUAACUACUGCGAAAGCAUUUGCCAAGGAUGUUUUCAUUAAUCAAGAACGAAAGUUAGGGGAUCGAAGACGAUCAGAUACCGUCGUAGUCUUAACCAUAAACUAUGCCGACUAGGGAUCGGAUGAUGUUAAUUUUUUAAUGACUCAUUCGGCGCCUUACG
rnacentral:rRNA from 1 species